GGAGUCUGGGCCGUGUCUCAGUCCCAAUGUGGCCGUUCAUCCUCUCAGACCGGCUACUGAUCGUCGCUUUGGUGGGCCGUUACCCCGCCAACAACCUAAUCAGACGCAUCCCCAUCCCAUAGCGGUGAACCUUUGGUAUUCUUCAGAUGUCAUCGGAAUACAACAUAGAGCAUUAAUCCGACUUUCGCCGGGCUAUUCUCUACUAUGGGGAAGGUUGGAUACGCGUUACUCACCCGUGCGCCGGUCGCCAUCAAUCAAAGCAAGCUUUGAUCAUGCUGCCCCUCGACUUGCAUGUGUUAAGCCUGUAGCUAGCGUUCAUC
rnacentral:rRNA from 1 species